ensembl:lincRNA
GGGCAUGAGUGGUUGUGUGAGGUUCAAUCUGUAUCAUUUCCUCUAGAAGUCAGGCUGGGCUGGCACUGCAUGUUCCUGGGGUCCCAGUGACACUCUCUUGCCACACCCACUUGUCCCUGCCCACUUAGUGCCCCACCUACUCCUCUCUGAAACACCAGUGUGGGCGAGAUCCUACCCUCAGCCUUCUGUCAGUGCCAUUGGUGCAGCUCAGAAAGAGGUCUGUGACCCCACAGUGCAGCUGGUUCGACUUCUUGCUCCACUCAACACAGUGACCUGUGCGCUGCUUCUGCUGCUCUUCAUCUGUUGCCAUGCCCAGAGCUCAAGUGUGGCCUCCGAAGCACAGAGAGUCGGGCCUGCCCAUGGCCCAACACUAAGGAGGACAUGCAGGAAGAGGGAUCUGGGGAGCCCCGCAUGGGCAGAGGAAGGACAAGGACCUGAGAUAACAGAAGGGUGGUGCCAGAGAGAUGCCAGCUGGUGGAGAUGACAACAGCAGGGGAACAGUGGCCUUAGCUGAACACCUUUCUUCACCCUGAGGCACAGAGAGAAGCAGGACCAACCAAAAGAUGCACAGCACCCAGGUCUGAGCCCAUUGUGUGGCAGAAAGAAGAGUUAAUAAACACAAAGUUCCCAUCAUCCAUUUUCAACAACUAUGAGUACUUGGACAACCUAAUUCUAUCUGUGCUUUUUGGUGACAAUCAAGUGCUUCCUUUCUUCCUGACCUGAGUCACAGUGGAGUUCAGGGUUCUUAUGGUUUGGUUAUAUUCGUUGCAUGAAGGAUGCUUUCUUUGCCAUUCCACCUUGAGUGUGAGAUCCCCAAAGAUUGGAGACUUUUCAGUCUAUUUCUACAGUCCUCCAAGGACUGGAGUUAGUGCAAAGGCCAUUCCCGCCACAUCAGCAUGUGAGGCCCUUUGCUUGAGCUCCUAGAGCCAAAUGUUGGUUCCAAGCCACAAGGAGCCUGAGAGGGCCUGGUUGGGUAAGCUGGGGCUAAGAUGAGGGACAGCAGUGGGACACUGGGAGAAUGUGUCAAGCCAGUGUUCGCAGAUCGGGUUCCCUUUAUAAUGCUUGUGGAGCAUGACAAGGACAUGGCAACAUCCCCAGUGUGGGAGGCAGCUGCCUAGAAAGAGCCAUCCCUGAUGUGCAUCUCUGUGCCCACAGCCCAGGACUCUGCCACCCCCUCUCAACUAGGUGCACAGCAGUUUCAUCCACACGGAUAGCACCAAUCUGGGGUCCACAUCUUCCUGGGAAUUCCCUUUGCCAAGUCACCUUUAGGACCACUGCAGUUUGUGUUGCCUGAGGCCCCUGAAUCCUGGAGUGGUGUGCAGAAUGGAACUUCUUGCCAUGCCAACUAAGCUCUCUGGGAAGUUAGGGAAAUUCAGACCCUGAGGAGGGUUCAGAUGCUCUGAGCUCUGGGCCAGGCUGCAGUAGUUCUGCCAUCUAAACCCCACAGCCAGUUCUCAUCUGCAUUGGAGGGAUUCUCACAGUGAGACCUGGCUCUGGGUUUGGCACCCAGAAGGCAUCAGCUCUUGGUACUGAAGAGAGGAAUUGAGACAUAUUUGUCCUCAUAUUUGCAUUAUGCCAAGUAUUCUCUGCCACCAGAGGAGGUGUCUCAGGAGAGGGUAUGGUUGGCUCUAUGAAUGUAUAAGAAAUUCUGACUCCAGCAACAGAUACUGAAGACACCUGAGGAGGACAGAAGUGGUGGCUUCUUGGAGACCCCAUCCUUCACACAGAGUGUAUCAGCUGAUAGGGCUAGAUGCCCCUAUCCGAGGUACAAGUCCAUGUUGUUACAAGUGGAAACUCUGUUGGGGAGAUGAGUUUCCCUAACAGUCUAGCCUUGGGAUGGAGUACACUCCACGACUCUUCUUUGGAAAACUAACCUCUAUUCCCACCUGCAACACCUGUGUCAGGCUCCUCUCCUGUUCCUGAACCAGAUGGUUAUAGAGAUAAACAGUGAACGUCAACACCUAUAGCCAAUGGUUCCAACAGAGACACCUAAUAGCCACUAUUGCCCAGCCUCAGGAGGAGUAGGACUCCAAGAACUUCAUCAACCUUGAAACCUCCCUGGAAAUCUGAGCUCCAUCCUAGCACCCCUGCCUGCAGCCUGUGCCUGGAUGUACAGGUACUUCAGAGAAAGUCUUCUAUCUAUUCUCAGCUACACUGAGCCAAAGCAAUGGAUAGUGUAUGAGUAGACCAGCAGGUGUGGGCUGGAUGAGACACAUAUGGCAUCUGUCUUGAUUUUUCCAGGUA